AAUGAACGCUGGCGGCGUGCCUAACACAUGCAAGUCGGAUGUGCCGCAAGGUGCAUGGCAGACGGGUGAGUAACGCGUGGGGAACCUACCUCUUUGUGGGGAAUAACGUUCCGAAAGGAAUGGUAAUACCGCAUGAGACCGUUGGCUGGGAUGCUGACGGUGAAACCCGGGGACCGCAAGGCCUGGGGCAAGGAGAGGGUCCUGCGUCUGAUUAGCUAGUUGGUGGGGUAACGGCCUACCAAGGCGUUGAUCAGUAGCCGGCCUGAGAGGGUGAUCGGCCACACUGGAACUGAGACACGGUCCAGACUCCUACGGGUGGCAG
rnacentral:rRNA from 1 species